UACGUAGGGAGCAAGCGUUGUCCGGAAUCAUUGGGCGUAAAGCGCGCGUAGGCGGCCCCGUAAGUCCGCUGUGAAAGUCAAAGGCUCAACCUUUGAAAGCCGGUGGAUACUGUGGGGCUAGAGUCCGGAAGAGGCGAGUGGAAUUCCUGGUGUAGCGGGUGGAAUGCGCAGAUAUCAGGAGGAACACCAAUAGCGAAGGCAGCUCGCUGGGACGGUACUGACGCUAAGGGCGCGAAAGCGUGGGGAGCGAACAGG
rnacentral:rRNA from 1 species